rnacentral:rRNA from 1 species
UCCUACGGGAGGCAGCAGCAAGGAAUUUUGCGCAAUGGGCGAAAGCCUGACGCAGCGACGCCGCGUGGGGGAAGAAGGCCUUCGGGUUGUAAACCUCUUUUCUCGAGGAAGAAUAAUGACGGUACUCGAGGAAUAAGUCUUGGCUAACUACGUGCCAGCAGCCGCGGUAAUACGUAGAAGGCGAACGUUAUUCGGAUUUACUGGGCGUAAAGCGGGUGCAGACGGCCCCUUAAGUCGGGUGUGAAAUCUCUUGACUCAAUCAGGAGGGGUCAUUCGAUACUGAGGAGCUUGAGGGCGGCAGAAGAAGGCGGAAUUCCCGGUGUAGCGGUGAUAUGCGUAGAUAUCGGGAGGAACACCAGUGGCGAAGGCGGCCUUCUAGGCUGUUCCUGACGUUGAGACCCAAAAGCGUGGGGAGCGAAACGGAUUAGAUACCCCGGUAGUCCAAGCCG